GAGAUAUUAGUAAAAAUUACAUAACUUUGUCAAAGUUAAGUUAUAGGCUAAAUCCCUGUAUAUCUCC
rnacentral:tRNA from 1 species